CGGCGGGCGGAGCGGCGCCGCCGCUGCCCCCGCACCGAGCCCGCACCGAGCCCCGGGCCUCGCUGCCCCAGGGCGGCGGCCCCCGGCCCGUCCCGCUGCCCGGCGCGGCCGAAAGUUUCCCGGCGGAAGGGGGGCAUGGGCUUCUCCCUGCCUGCAGCACCACGAGGAUCCUGCUGAGCGAGCACAGGGGGAGCACAAGGGAGCAGCUCUGGGAUGAUGCCCUGGGUGCUUCUGCAUGGCUGUGGAAUAAGGUCCAGCUGACAAGCAAGCCUGGGGAGCUGUGGAAGAAAAGUGCCCAGAGGAGAACAAGGAAUACAGUGCAGUCAGCUGGAGGUUUCAUUGGAAGGCACACACACACCCAGGGUUUAAAGGAUGAAGGGAACGUAAUUCAGCAGAUUCCUUUGGAGCAGCACUUGUUCUCCUGGCUGACAGAGGGACCAGAAAAAAUGGUAAGAAAACUCCUUUUAACUGCAAAGCUUGUCUUCAAUUCUCUCCCUCCCUAUUUUGUUUGGUUU
rnacentral:lncRNA from 1 species